AGAGUUUGAUCAUGGCUCAGAAUCAACGCUGGCGGCGCGCUUAACACAUGCAAGUCGCACGAGAAAGCAGGAGCAAUCUUGUGAGUAAAGUGGCGUACGGGUGAGUAACACGUGGAUCAUCUACCUUCUAGUGGGGAAUACCUCUGGGAAACCGGAGAUAAUUCCGCAUAAGCUCGUGAGAGGAAAGCAGCAAUGCGCUGGAAGAGGAGUCCGCGGCUGAUUAGCUAGAUGGCGGGGUAACGGCCCACCAUGGCGAAGAUCGGUAGCCGGCCUGAGAGGGCACACGGCCACACUGGCACUGAAACACGGGCCAGACUCCUACGGGAGGCAGCAGUGGGGAAUCUUGCACAAUGGAGGCAACUCUGAUGCAGCGACGCCGCGUGAGCGAUGAAGCCCUUCGGGGUGUAAAGCUCUUUCGACGGGAAAGAUGAUGACGGUACCCGGAGAAGAAGCUGCGGCUAACUACGUGCCAGCAGCCGCGGUAAUACGUAGGCAGCGAGCGUUGUUCGGAAUUACUGGGCGUAAAGAGUGUGUAGGCGGUGUUCCAAGUCUGGUGUGAAAUCUCCCGGCUUAACUGGGAGGGUGCGCCGGAAACUGGAAUGCUCGAGGGUGGGAGAGGUAAGCGGAAUUCCUGGUGUAGCGGUGAAAUGCGUAGAUAUCAGGAGGAACACCUGUGGUGUAGACAGCUUACUGGACCACUUCUGACGCUGAGACACGAAAGCGUGGGUAGCAAACAGGAUUAGAUACCCUAGUAGUCC
rnacentral:rRNA from 1 species